rnacentral:rRNA from 1 species
AUACGUAGGGGGCGAGCGUUGUCCGGAAUGAUUGGGCGUAAAGGGCGCGUAGGCGGCCCGGUAAGUCUGGAGUGAAAGUCCUGUUUUUAAGAUGGGAAUUGCUUUGGAUACUGUCGGGCUUGAGUGCAGGAGAGGUAAGUGGAAUUCCCAGUGUAGCGGUGAAAUGCGUAGAGAUUGGGAGGAACACCAGUGGCGAAGGCGACUUACUGGGCCGUAACUGACGCUGAGGCGCGAAAGCGUGUGGAGCGAACAGGAUUAGAUACCCUGGUAGUCCACGCGGUAAACGAUGAAUGCUAGGUGGUGCGGGUAUCGACCCCUGCAGUGCCGUAGUCAACACAAUAAGCAUUCCGCCUGGGGAGUUCGGCCGCAAGGUUGAAACUCAAAUGAAUUGACGGGG